CAGUGAAAUGCGUAGAGAUCAGGAGGAACAUCCAUGGGGAAGGCAGCUCCCUGGACCAACACUGACACUGAGGCACGAAAGCGUGGGGAGCAAACAGGAUUAGAUACCCUGGUAGUCCACGCCCUAAACGAUGCGAACUGGAUGUUGGGUGCCAUUUGGCACGCAGUAUCGAAGCUAACGCGUUAAGUUCGCCGCCUGGGGAGUACGGUCGCAAGACUGAAACUCAAAGGAAUUGACGGGGGCCCGCACAAGCGGUGGAGUAUGUGGUUUAAUUCGAUGCAACGCGAAGAACCUUACCUGGCCUUGACAUGUCGAGAACUUUCCAGAGAUGGAUUGGUGCCUUCGGGAACUC
rnacentral:rRNA from 1 species